AGGCAUUUAAUAUCUCCUCCUUCGCUUUCCCUUUCACUGCCGCUACCUCUGCACCCUCUCAUCUCUCCAUUGUUGGUUUUGCUCCCCCCGCUGGGUUUUUUUUUCUUUCUCUCCCGCUUGUUCUCUCCGGCGCUCCCUCCAUCUCGUUCGUCCUGCCCCAUUUAUUAUCCCUUUCCUUUUCUCUGCAGAGAUGUAAUCAUUCGCGAAGACACAUUUUACAAAGGAUGUCCGCUCUCACCGCUACUGACAAUGCCGGAGGAAAACUUUGGACACGGCAUGCUGGCUGGUGGAAGGUGUGAGACCACCUUGAAACGACGCGGAGACAAGAUUACUAUGAUCCCAUUGUUUAGUCUCCGGUUGCCUAGUUUCACAGCGGCAAAGAAGAGGCAAAAUAAGAUGCUGAAACAAAUGACGUACAAGAGGUGGAAAACAAAGAUCCUAUAGCAGAGGUGGGAGUGUCAACGUCUGACAAAAGAAGGCCUAUGCGGCCUUGGAAAUGAUACACAGAUGUUGGCAGUGUUUCUCCACCUGGAGCCUUAUACAUUGUCACACUAUCAAGCUUUGGAAGCAUCACACCAAGCUUGGUCCUGUUUAUGAACACAGAUGUAUGAAAACAUCAGUGUAUAUGCAUGUUUAAUCAGUAAUGUAUGUAUCCAACAUAUCUGCUCUCAGUUAAAUGUAUAUGAUUUUUUUUUUUUGCAGGAGCAAGCUAAAUUGAUUUUUAAGAUGUGUUUGCACAUUAUAAAAUGCAAUUAAAAUUUGCAUUGUUAUUUGGUGAAAAGGCGGCACUGUGCUGUAGCGGAAGGGUAGAGCCACUGCCUUACAAUGCCAGAGACCCGGGUUAGAUCCUGACUACUGGUGCUUGUCUGUACGGAGUUUGUACUUUAUCCCCGUGACCUGCGUGGGUUUUCUUCGAGGUCUUUGGUUUCCUUCCACACUCCAAAGAUGUACAGGUUUGUAGGUUAAUUGGCUUGUUAUGGAUGUAAAAUAACUUGUGUCUAGUGUGUGUAGGAUAGUGUUAGUGUACGGGGAUGGCUGGUCGGUGCGGACUCGGUGGGCCGAAGGGCAUGUUUCCGCGCUGUAUCUCUAAACUAAACUAAAAAAGACGACAUUUUAAUUCUUGACAUGACUGACAAAAAUAUCCUAUAUUACAGUUUUUUUGAUUUUCAACAACAUAAUUUGCACAUGUCAAUAAUUCUAUGUUGAUAUUUGAUCCUGGUCAUUAGCUAGUAUCAGUUUUUUUUUUUUGCAUUUUCAUAAGCACAGCUUCACUUCAGUCGAGUGAUAUUGCUUCUUUCUAUAAAAAGGAUAAAUGACUAAAGAUUUGUCAUUUACUUCACAGAUCUGAUAAAAUCACAAACCUUUCCAUAAUAUUUUAAUGAAAAAUGAAUGUUAUUUGCCCCCAUUCACUGCAGGGAAAAGCAUACUUGCCCUAAUGGCUAAAUUUAACUACAACCUUCCUCAUUAAUGUUCUGACCACUCUGGACUUUGGUCACUUUCUAUGUAUUCCAUAGCAUACAUUGUUAGAAUCUAUAUUUUUUUACUGCUCUGCAAUCUAAUUUCAUUCCAUGGUUCAACUUAAACACGUGGGGAGCAGGGAUCAAACUGUGUAUUGCAAAUUAAAAUAGUGAAUAGUAAAAGUGUGUUAACAUGAAUGUACCUCUGCAUGAGUGAUCCACUCACAGAAAUAACAUUAGUGAACAUGGGGGCACACAGAUUGAGAAAUGUGUACGUGUACACAAACAAGCACACUUGCACAAUCAUUGUGCAAGAAUGAGAUAAUAUAGGCACUGUACACACAGUUAUGUACUUUAGCACCUACUUUAGGGUAAAUAUAGGAUCGAUCUAGGUGGCUGUUUGUAACAUGUAAAUUACAAAUAACUGCAAAUUGUAAAAGGGACUGGAGGCACAAAAUCACUUUCACAUAGUACAUGCAAGCACAUAGACACAACUCUGCAGCAUGCAUGUAGACAUAAUGCGAUGGGCACAAGGCGGGCUCCUAUCUAGUUAUUUGGCACAAGAAGAAAUGGUCAAUAGAGAAAGUAACACUGAUCUUUUGAAAACUUUUCUAUUGCAACCAGGUUUGCAUCAAAGGGCACAUUUUCUCUUUAUUUGCUCCAUGGUUUUCUCCCUCUCUGCUCGGUGAUCACUCUCAACCAGUAACGUGAUUACAACCACAACCAAGAUAUUAUAAUCAAACAAACCACUGGCUUGUAGUCAGUGACUUGGUACUGGGCCCACUUCCAGUUGCUUUAUCCGGAGAAAAGAAUAAAAAGAUAAAUCUAAGCAGAAGAGACAUUUCAUAAUAACUUUGCCUCAACAAAAUUGGAUGGCAGCUGUUUUGAGAGGUCUGAUGUAUUAAUCAAUGUAAUAGAAAAAAUGCUAUUGAUACUGCAGAAGGAGCAGCAGAUAAAUCACAACGCUAUCAUAUUGUGAGUGCUCACUUUCCUUACUACUUUUAUUUCUAUCUUUUUUAAAGCUCAAAAAUGAAGUGGUACAACAAAUGUAAUAAGAUAUAUCUGAUGUAUAUUAUUGUAAUUUACUGUACUUCUAAUAAAAAUAAAAUUUAAAAAAUAAAUAAAUAAAAAAUAUUGUGAGUGCAGGGACAAGGCUGAGCUGCAAGAACAAAAACACUUGCAUUGUAUCUCCAAUACAGAGGAGGUGACACGAUCGGGCUCCAUCCCAGUCAAACAACACAUCUCAUCAUCAUCAUCUUUCAAAUCCAGAAUGGGAUAACAAGGUGUAGCCUUGAAAGGAGUAUUUUAAUCAGAUGAUAUUGUGCUGUAAUAAUGAUGAGCGACUGAGCUCUUUGUCUGGUGACCCUCUGUGUUUUGUACGUGACUUCUCUGCAGCAAGGGAUUUUUCUUACUAUGUCCCGUUGGAUCGAGAUCUAUGGCUCACUUCUGUUUGGAAGACUAGUGAUUUUGUUGUUUCUUAUCUAUUGGUUUAACAACAAGUCAUAGUCUGCCAUACAGCACAGGGCAGAUCAUCACCUGAGCAACCUGAACUGUGAACAAUAGAUUAGUUCUUACACUCACAUGAUUAAAUCUUGCGUUGUGGAAUUAACUGUGCAAUGUACGUUGAAGUACAUUUGUUAUAUCACAAUUAAAGAUUCAUGACUUGUCAAUAGUAACUGGGCUGCCUUAUGUACUCAUACUCAUACUCACUCAUACUCACUUUAUUAGCCAAGUAUGUUUUGUACCAUACGAGGAAUUUGAUUUGCCAUACAGUCAUACUAAUAUAAAGCAACAAGAUACACAAAAUACAUUUUAACAUAAACAUCCACCACAGUGACUCUUCCACAUUCCUCACUGUGAUGGAAGGUGAAAAAAAGUUCAAUCUCUUCCCUUCUUUGUUCUCCCGCGGUCGGGGGCCUCUAGCCCUCCGUUGACGGGAUGAUCUUGACUCCUGUAGCCGGCGGCGGGCCCUCCAUGUCUGGGCGAUCAAGCUCCUGCAUCGGGGGCAUCUCAGCUCCCCUGCGCCGGGCUAUCGGACCCCAGGUCGGGGCUCGUCGAACGUCGUGUGGUUUUGAAGCUCCCGACUCUGCCUCUCCCGAGGCUGCGAGCCCUUGAUGUUAAAGUCCCCGGUAAGUUUUGAGGGUCGAUCCCAGGCAAGGAAUCGACUCCGAUGGUAAGUCCACACCCCAGAAAUUACUCAUUCACUGCCUUGUAACUUCUCAUGUGGUUAAUCAAGUUGACUUUUAAAAAUGCCAAUCUCUCCAUAAAUUGUUUAAAAAAAAGUGCAAAUUGUGAGGAUAUUUUAAAUAAAGGAGAGAAAGUACGGAGAUAUUCAAUUAUCUCAGUAAUAUCUGUA